UUUCCGGUUGAUCCCGCCGGACCUGACUGCUAUCGGAUUGAUACUAAGCCAUGCGAGUCAUUGCAGCAAUGCAAGGCAGACGGCUCAGUAACACGUAGUCAACCUAACCUAUGGACGGGGAUAACCUCGGGAAACUGAGAAUAAUACCCGAUAGGCCAUAAUGCCUGGAACGGUUUAUGGCCCAAACGAUUUAUCGCCGUAGGAUGGGACUGCGUUCUAUCAGCUUGUUGGUGAGGUAAUGGCCCACCAAGGCUAUAACAGAUACGGGCUCUGAGAGGAGAAGCCCGGAGAUGGGUACUGAGACACGGACCCAGGCCCUAUGGGGCGCAGCAGGCGAGAAAACUUUGCAAUGUGCGCAAGCACGACAAGGUUAAUCCGAGUGUUUUCUGCUAAAGAAAUCUUUUGUCAGUCCUAAAAGCACUGACGAAUAAGGGGUGGGCAAGUUCUGGUGUCAGCCGCCGCGGUAAAACCAGCACCUCAAGUGGUCAGGAGGAUUAUUGGGCCUAAAGCAUCCGUAGCCGGCUGCAUAAGUUUUCGGUUAAAUCUAUGCGCUCAACGCAUAGGCCGCCGGGAAUACUGUGCAGCUAGGGAGUGGGAGAGGUAGACGGUACUCGGUAGGAAGGGGUAAAAUCCGGUGAUCUAUCGAUGACCACCUGUGGCGAAGGCGGUCUACUAGAACACGUCCGACGGUGAGGGAUGAAAGCUGGGGGAGCAAACCGGAUUAGAUACCCGGGUAGUCCCAGCUGUAAACAAUGCAAACUCAGUGAUGCACUGGCUUGUUGCCAGUGCAGUGCCGCAGGGAAGCCGUUAAGUUUGCCGCCUGGGAAGUACGUACGCAAGUAUGAAACUUAAAGGAAUUGGCGGGGGAGCACCACAAGGGGUGAAGCCUGCGGUUCAAUUGGAUUCAACGCCGGG
rnacentral:rRNA from 1 species